rnacentral:rRNA from 1 species
GAUGAACGCUGGCGGCGUGCCUAAUACAUGCAAGUCGAACGAAACUUCUUUAUCACCGAGUGCUUGCACUCACCGAUAAAGAGUUGAGUGGCGAACGGGUGAGUAACACGUGGGCAACCUGCCCAAAAGAGGGGGAUAACACUUGGAAACAGGUGCUAAUACCGCAUAACCAUAGUUACCGCAUGGUAACUAUGUAAAAGGUGGCUAUACUACCGCUUUUGGAUGGGCCCGCGGCGCAUUAGCUAGUUGGUAGGGUAAAGGCUUACCAAGGCAAUGAUGCGUAGCCGAAUUGAGAGGUUGAUCGGCCACAUUGGGACUGAGACACGGCCCAAACUCCUACGGGAGGCAGCAGUAGGGAAUCUUCCACAAUGGGCGAAAGCCUGAUGGAGCAACGCCGCGUGGGUGAAGAAGGUCUUCGGAUCGUAAAACCCUGUUGUUAGAGAAGAAAGUGCGUGAGAGUAGCUGUUCACGUUUCGACGGUAUCUAACCAGAAAGCCACUGCUAACUACGUG